GUAUAGAGCUCAUGGGUUACUCCCAGAAGAAAUUGCAGAGUUCAAAAGAAGGAAAGCUGAAAAACUUCUUGGCAAAAGAGCCUAGAUCUGAGCCACAACUGGCCAUAUGUUCUGAGCAGGAAAUUGAAAUCUGUCCUGAGGGACACAAAGAGGACACUAAGAAAGCAAAGAGCUGUGAAGCAUGAAGGAGAAAUAAGUUUUGGAGAGGAUGAAAUCUGAGAAGAACAUGGCCAAGAACUAGUAAGAUCAGGAGGGACCCCUUGAAGCCAAUCCAACAGAACUCACACUCUCCAUUAAUUUCCCAGCUGGCCCAAAGCAGUAUAAUUAAUGAAGCCUCUUAGAUCUUGCAGAGGGUGAACCUGAGCAGGCAGAUGAAUCCUGACCAUCAUCUCUUGUGAAACUGGGCACCAUCUCAGAGCUGUAUAUGUGUGUUUUUGGGAAUGGUGCACUGAGGAUGAAAGUGUGGGUGAUAAUGAUGGUAGUUCCCACUCUUCAUGAGCAACUGUCACAAGGAUGAACUCAAAGAAUAUUUUAGCUAGGUCUCCAUGGCAGCACUAACAAGUCCAGCUGCCCUUUGGCCUGGAUUUAAACAAUAAUGCCAAGUGCUAGAAUGGUUCAACUGUUUUACAUUAAGUAGUUGUUUUCCUGUUGUUAUUGUGGGAAGUCCUGGUUUUAUGAAAAUAAGUGCAAUUGAGAAAAAAUGUUUUGGACAACAACAAAGAAUAUUUUUACUCCCCCACAGAAAUUUUGAAUCAAAAUGUUCUCUUCCUGUAUUGUCAACUUAAGCUGAAAUGUUUUCUUUCAAAUUGACAUUUCAGCUGCAAAUGCCAAUUUAAUGCUAUUUUCAAAAUGAAAUAACAGUUUUGAAUUGAAACAGUUUGGUAUGAAUCAAUAUUUGUUUCAAAUGCCAAAAUGAGAUUCUGCUCAAAAUGUCAAAAUAUGUCAUAUUUGCAAAUCCAGAUCUAAAUUGCAAGAACUCAUUUUUUCUGCUUUAUACACACAUAUAUACAGGGCAUCUAAAACAUGCUUCUCAUCCCAAAGCCAGAUAAAAAUGGAAUGCCAAGAUAUUGCAAAACUGGAAUGCAGUUCCAUUAGUUGAGUAGUACUAAUAAAAUAUAUACUUUUCCCCUGCA
rnacentral:lncRNA from 1 species